rnacentral:rRNA from 1 species
UACGUAGGGUGCAAGCGUUGUCCGGAAUUAUUGGGCGUAAAGAGUUCGUAGGCGGUUUGUCGCGUCCGUUGUGAAAGCCCGGGGCUUAACCCCGGGUCUGCAUUCGAUACGGGCAGGCUAGAGUGUGGUAGGGGAGAUCGGAAUUCCUGGUGUAGCGGUGAAAUGCGCAGAUAUCAGGAGGAACACCGGUGGCGAAGGCGGAUCUCUGGGCCAUUACUGACGCUGAGGAGCGAAAGCGUGGGGAGCGAACAGG